UGGUCAAGUUAUUAAGGGUGCAGGGCGGAUGCCUUGGCACUAGGAGCCGAUGAAGGACGUGAUAAGCUGCGAUAAGCUUCGGGGAGUUGCACGUAAACUUUGAUCCGAAGAUUUCCGAAUGAGGAAACUCACUUAGAGUAAUGUCUAAGUAUCAUUAAGUGAAUACAUAGCUUAAUGAGGGGAACUCAGGGAACUGAAACAUCUAAGUACCUGAAGGAAGAGAAAGAAAUUCGAUUCCGUAAGUAGCGGCGAGCGAACGCGGAUUAGCCCAAACCAAUAAAGUUUUCUUUAUUGGGGUUGAGGACAUACCACAUAUAAGAGGUCAUUAUAGACGAAGAAGUUUGGAAAAACUCAUCAUAGAAGGUAAUAAUCCUGUAGUCAAAAUAAUAAUUCUUUAGGUAUGAUCCAGAGUACCACGGGACACGUGAAACCCUGUGGGAAGCAGGAGGGACCACCCUCCAAGGCUAAAUACUACCUAGUGACCGAUAGCGUAUAGUACCGUGAGGGAAAGGUGAAAAGAACCCCGGGAGGGGAGUGAAAUAGAACCUGAAACCCUGCACUUACAAGCUGUGGAAGCACAUUUCUUGUGUGACCGCGUACUUU
rnacentral:rRNA from 1 species